rnacentral:rRNA from 1 species
AGUGCAUGUGGUGGAUGCCUUGGCGAUCACAGGCGAUGAAGGACGCGGUAGCCUGCGAAAAGCGGAGGGGAGCUGGCAAACGAGCUUUGAUCCUCCGAUAUCCGAAUGGGGAAACCCACCUCUUUUGAGGUAUCCGUAACUGAAUACAUAGGUUACGUGAAGCGAACGCGGUGAACUGAAACAUCUAAGUAACCGCAGGAAAAGAAAUCAACCGAGAUUCCCAGAGUAGUGGCGAGCGAAAUGGGACCAGCCUGUACUCUUUAUCUUCAUUGUUAGUCGAAGGCUCUGGAAAGUGCCGCCAUAGCAGGUGAUAGCCCUGUAGACGAAAACAGCGAGGAAGAACUAGGUGUACGGAAAGUAGGGCGGGACACGUGAAAUCCUGUCUGAAUAUGGGGGGACCAUCCUCCAAGGCUAAAUACUACUGACUGACCGAUAGUGAACUAGUACCGUGAGGGAAAGGCGAAAAGAACCCCGGAGAGGGGAGUGAAAUAGAUCCUGAAACCGUAUGCGUACAAACAGUCGGAGCCUCUGCGAAGGGGUGACUGCGUACCUUUUGUAUAAUGGGUCAGCGACUUAUUUUCAGUGGCAAGCUUAACCGAAUAGGGCAGGCGUAGCGAAAGCGAGUCCGAACAGGGCGAUUCAGUCGCUGGGUGUAGACCCGAAACCAGGUGAUCUAUCCAUGGCCAGGAUGAAGGUGCGGUAACACGUACUGGAGGUCCGAACCCACUAACGUUGAAAAGUUAGGGGAUGAGCUGUGGAUAGGGGUGAAAGGCUAAACAAACCUGGAAAUAGCUGGUUCUCUCCGAAAACUAUUUAGGUAGUGCCUCGUGUAUCACCUUCGGGGGUAGAGCACUGUCAUGGUUGUGGGGUCCAUUGCGGAUUACUACGCCAUAGCAAACUCCGAAUACCGAAGAGUGCAAUCACGGGAGACAGACAUCGGGUGCUAACGUCCGGUGUCAAGAGGGAAACAACCCAGACCGCCAGCUAAGGUCCCCAAAUAUUGCUAAGUGGGAAACGAUGUGGGAAGGCUCAGACAGCUAGGAGGUUGGCUUAGAAGCAGCCACCCUUUAAAGAAAGCGUAAUAGCUCACUGAUCGAGUCGUCCUGCGCGGAAGAUGUAACGGGGCUAAGCAAUAUACCGAAGCUGCGGAUGCACAUUUAUGUGCAUGGUAGGAGAGCGUUCCGUAAGCCUGCGAAGGUGCAUUGAAAAGUGUGCUGGAGGUAUCGGAAGUGCGAAUGCUGACAUGAGUAGCGAUAAAGGGGGUGAAAGGCCCCCUCGCCGUAAGCCCAAGGUUUCCUACGCAACGUUCAUCGGCGUAGGGUGAGUCGGCCCCUAAGGCGAGGCAGAAAUGCGUAGCUGAUGGGAAGCAGGUUAAUAUUCCUGCACCAUUGUUAAAUGCGAUGGGGGGACGGAUCGCGGAAGGUUGUCCGGGUGUUGGAAGUCCCGGUCCUUGCAUUGGAGAAGGCGCUCAGGCAAAUCCGGGCGCGGAAUUCAAGGGUGCGAGGCCAGUCGCUUAGGCGACGAAGCAAUCGGAAGUGGUUCCAAGAAAAGCCUCUAAGCUUCAGUUUAACAGGACCGUACCCCAAACCGACACAGGUGGUUAGGUAGAGAAUACCAAGGCGCUUGAGAGAACUCGGGUGAAGGAACUAGGCAAAAUGGUACCGUAACUUCGGGAUAAGGUACGCCCCUGUAGCUUGAUGCCCCUGCGGGCAGAGGGUGAAGGGGUUGCAAUAAACUGGUGGCUGCGACUGUUUAAUAAAAACACAGCACUCUGCAAACACGAAAGUGGACGUAUAGGGUGUGACGCCUGCCCGGUGCCGGAAGAUUAAAUGAUGGGGUGCAAGCUCUUGAUUGAAGCCCCGGUAAACGGCGGCCGUAACUAUAACGGUCCUAAGGUAGCGAAAUUCCUUGUCGGGUAAGUUCCGACCUGCACGAAUGGCGUAACGAUGGCCACACUGUCUCCUCCCGAGACUCAGCGAAGUUGAAGUGUUUGUGAUGAUGCAAUCUCCCCGCGGCUAGACGGAAAGACCCCGUGAACCUUUACUAUAGCUUUGCACUGGACUUUGAGCUGAUCUGUGUAGGAUAGGUGGGAGGCUUUGAAGCGUGGACGCCAGUCUGCGUGGAGCCGUCCUUGAAAUACCACCCUGGUUUGUUUGAGGUUCUAACCUUGGCCCGUGAUCCGGGUCGGGGACAGUGCAUGGUAGGCAGUUUGACUGGGGCGGUCUCCUCCCAAAGUGUAACGGAGGAGUACGAAGGUACGCUAGGUACGGUCGGAAAUCGUGCUGAUAGUGCAAUGGCAUAAGCGUGCUUAACUGCGAGACCGACAAGUCGAGCAGGUGCGAAAGUAGGUCUUAGUGAUCCGGUGGUUCUGUAUGGAAGGGCCAUCGCUCAACGGAUAAAAGGUACUCCGGGGAUAACAGGCUGAUACCGCCCAAGAGUUCAUAUCGACGGCGGUGUUUGGCACCUCGAUGUCGGCUCAUCACAUCCUGGGGCUGAAGCCGGUCCCAAGGGUAUGGCUGUUCGCCAUUUAAAGUGGUACGCGAGCUGGGUUUAGAACGUCGUGAGACAGUUCGGUCCCUAUCUGCCGUGGACGUUUGAGAUUUGAGAGGGGCUGCUCCUAGUACGAGAGGACCGGAGUGGACGAACCUCUGGUGUUCCGGUUGUCACGCCAGUGGCAUUGCCGGGUAGCUAUGUUCGGAAAAGAUAACCGCUGAAAGCAUCUAAGCGGGAAACUCGCCUUAAGAUGAGAUAUCCCCGGGGCUUCGAGCCCCUUGA